AACGAACGCUGGCGGCAUGCCUAACACAUGCAAGUCGAACGGGAUCCGGACUUCGGUUCGGUGAGAGUGGCGGACGGGUGAGUAACGCGUGGGAACCUGCCCAGUGGUGGGGGAUAACUGCGGGAAACUGCAGCUAAUACCGCAUGAUCCCGAGAGGGGAAAGAUUUAUCGCCAUUGGAGGGGCCCGCGUUCGAUUAGGUAGUUGGUGAGGUAAUGGCUCACCAAGCCGACGAUCGAUAGCUGGUCUGAGAGGAUGAUCAGCCGCACUGGGACUGAGAUACGGCCCAGACUCCUACGGGAGGCAGCAGUGGGGAAUAUUGGACAAUGGGGGCAACCCUGAUCCAGCAAUGCCGCGUGAGUGAUGAAGGCCUUCGGGUUGUAAAGCUCUUUUGGCGGGGACGAUGAUGACGGUACCCGCAGAAUAAGCCCCGGCUAACUUCGUGCCAGCAGCCGCCGUAACAC
rnacentral:rRNA from 1 species